rnacentral:rRNA from 1 species
UACGUAGGGGGCUAGCGUUGUCCGGAUUUAUUGGGCGUAAAGAGCGUGUAGGCGGCCAGGUAGGUCUGCUGUGAAAACUCGGGGCUUAACCCCGAGCCUGCAGUGGAUACGGGCAGACUAGAGGUAGGUAGGGGAGAAUGGAAUUCCCGGUGUAGCGGCGAAAUGCGCAGAUAUCGGGAGGAACACCGGUGGCGAAGGCGGUUCUCUGGGCCUUACCUGACGCUGAGGAGCGAAAGCGUGGGGAGCGAACAGG